rnacentral:rRNA from 1 species
UACGUAGGGUCCGAGCGUUAAUCGGAAUUACUGGGCGUAAAGCGCGCGUAGGCGGUUUUGUAAGCCAGAUGUGAAAGCCCCGGGCUCAACCUGGGAACUGCAUUUGGGACUGCAAGGCUGGAGUACGGCAGAGGGAGGUGGAAUUCCACGUGUAGCAGUGAAAUGCGUAGAGAUGUGGAGGAACACCGAUGGCGAAGGCAGCCUCCUGGGCUAGUACUGACGCUCAUGCACGAAAGCGUGGGGAGCAAACAGG